GACGAACGCUGGCGGCGUGCUUAACACAUGCAAGUCGAACGGAAAGGCCCUGCUUUUGUGGGGUGCUCGAGUGGCGAACGGGUGAGUAACACGUGAGUAACCUGCCCUUGACUUUGGGAUAACUUCAGGAAACUGGGGCUAAUACCGGAUAGGAGCUCCUGCUGCAUGGUGGGGGUUGGAAAGUUUCGGCGGUUGGGGAUGGACUCGCGGCUUAUCAGCUUGUUGGUGGGGUAGUGGCUUACCAAGGCUUUGACGGGUAGCCGGCCUGAGAGGGUGACCGGCCACAUUGGGACUGAGAUACGGCCCAGACUCCUACGGGAGGCAGCAGUGGGGAAUAUUGCACAAUGGGCGGAAGCCUGAUGCAGCAACGCCGCGUGCGGGAUGACGGCCUUCGGGUUGUAAACCGCUUUCGCCUGUGACGAAGCGUGAGUGACGGUAAUGGGUAAAGAAGCACCGGCUAACUACGUGCCAGCAGCCGCGGUGAUACGUAGGGUGCGAGCGUUGUCCGGAUUUAUUGGGCGUAAAGGGCUCGUAGGUGGUUGAUCGCGUCGGAAGUGUAAUCUUGGGGCUUAACCCUGAGCGUGCUUUCGAUACGGGUUGACUUGAGGAAGGUAGGGGAGAAUGGAAUUCCUGGUGGGGCGGUGGAAUGCGCAGAUAUCAGGAGGAACACCAGUGGCGAAGGCGGUUCUCUGGGCCUUUCCUGACGCUGAGGAGCGAAAGCGUGGGGAGCGAACAGGCUUAGAUACCCUGGUAGUCCACGCUGUAAACGGUGGGUACUAGGUGUGGGGUCCAUUCCACGGGUUCCGUGCCGUAGCUAACGCUUUAAGUACCCCGCCUGGGGAGUACGGCCGCAAGGCUAGAACCCAAAGGAAUUGACGGGGCCCCGCACAAGCGGCGGAGCAUGCGGAUUAAUUCGAUGCAACGCGUAGAACCUUACCUGGGUUUGACAUGGAUCGGGAGUGCUCAGAGAUGGGUGUGCCUCUUUUGGGGUCGGUUCACAGGUGGUGCAUGGCUGUCGUCAGCUCGUGUCGUGAGAUGUUGGGUUAAGUCCUGCAACGAGCGCAACCCUUGUUCACUGUUGCCAGCACGUUAUGGUGGGGACUCAGUGGAGACCGCCGGGGUCAACUCGGAGGAAGGUGGGGAUGACGUCAAGUCAUCAUGCCCCUUAUGUCCAGGGCUUCACGCAUGCUACAAUGGCUGGUACAGAGAGUGGCGAGCCUGUGAGGGUGAGCGAAUCUCGGAAAGCCGGUCUCAGUUCGGAUUGGGGUCUGCAACUCGACCUCAUGAAGUCGGAGUCGCUAGUAAUCGCAGAUCAGCAACGCUGCGGUGAAUACGUUCCCGGG
rnacentral:rRNA from 1 species